rnacentral:tRNA from 1 species
UGUAAGAUGCCUGACUAAAGGAUAAUUUUGAUAGAAUUAAUAAUGUAUUUAUAUACUCUUGCAA